AUGCGCCUAAUUUUGUUAACAUUCACAUUCAAAAGCGAACGAUAAUUACGAACUUCAAACACUAAAUUUACUCAUAUCCUUAUCUCUUUAAGCAUCUCUUACCUUUCUUAAUGAAUAUCGAACCAUAACACAUUUUAAUAAUAUACUGUUGUUGUGUAAGGAAGUGGCCAACUUAUGUUGUCUACAAAUGUGAACGACAUAAUACGGUACAUUAACUCAAAAUAAGUUUCUAGAAGACAAUUCCUUCAAAAAAAAAACUAAUAAAGUGAUAGACACCAAAUUAAACAUUAGAGUUAUAUUCGGACUAAAACUGCAACAACAGUACUAUCAUGGAAAUUAUAAAUUAGAAUUGAAU